GAAACGACUGCUAAGACUGGAUAGGAGAUAAGAAGGCAUCUUUUUAUUUUUAAAAGACCUAGCAAUAGGUAUGCUUAGGGAAGAGCUUGCGUCACAUUAGUUAGUUGGUGGGGUAAUGGCCUACCAAGACGAUGAUGUGUAGCCGGGCUGAGAGGUCGAACGGCCACAUUGGGACUGAGACACGGCCCAAACUCCUACGGGAGGCAGCAGUAAGGAAUUUUCGGCAAUGGAGGAAACUCUGACCGAGCAAUGCCGCGUGAACGAUGAAGUAUUUCGGUACGUAAAGUUCUUUUAUUAGGGAAGAAAAGAUGGUGGAAAAACCAUUAUGACGGUACCUAAUGAAUAAGCCCCGGCUAACUAUGUGCCAGCAGCCGCGGUAAUACAUAGGGGGCAAGCGUUAUCCGGAAUUAUUGGGCGUAAAGGGUGCGUAGGCGGUUAAAUAAGUUUAUGGUCUAAGUGCAACGCUCAACGUUGUGAUGCUAUAAAAACUGUUUAGCUAGAGUUGGAUAGAGGCAAGUGGAAUUCCGUGUGUAGUGGUAAAAUGCGUAAAUAUACGGAGGAACACCAGAAGCGAAGGCGGCUUGCUGGGUCUUAACUGACGCUGAGGCACGAAAGCGUGGGGAGCAAACAGGAUUAGAUACCCUGGUAGUCCACGCCCUAAACGAUGAGUACUAAACGUUGGAUAAAACCAGUGUUGAAGUUAACACAUUAAGUACUCCGCCUGAGUAGUACGUACGCAAGUAUGAAACUUAAAGGAAUUGACGGGACUCCGCACAAGCGGUGGAUCAUGUUGUUUAAUUCGAAGGUACCCGAAAAACCUCACCAGGUCUUGACAUGCUUUUGCAAAGCUGUAGAAAUACAGUGGAGGUUAUCAGAAGCACAGGUGGUGCAUGGUUGUCGUCAGCUCGUGUCGUGAGAUGUUGGGUUAAGUCCCGCAACGAGCGCAACCCUUGUUGUUAAUUGCCAUCAUUAAGUUGGGGACUUUAGCAAGACUGCCAAUGAUAAAUUGGAGGAAGGUGGGGACGACGUCAAAUCAUCAUGCCCCUUAUGACCUGGGCUACAAACGUGAUACAAUGGCUGUUACAAAGGGUAGCUAAAGCGUAAGCUUCUGGCGAAUCUCAAAAAAGCAGUCUCAGUUCGGAUUGAAGUCUGCAACUCGACUUCAUGAAGUUGGAAUCGCUAGUAAUCGCGAAUCAGCACGUCGCGGUGAAUACGUUCUCGGGGUUUGUACACACCGCCCGUCA
rnacentral:rRNA from 1 species